CACAGCCCCUGAGUUGUGUUCCAUCUUCCCCAUCACCCAAGCUGCAGACUGGUGGAGCCUAGGGACAUUAUUGUACCACCUCCUCACUGGCCAGGACCUAAGUUCCCUCUACCCGGGAGGUAUCUUCUGUCACACAGUUCUACACAUUCCAGACACCAUAUCUGUGGAAGCCCGGUCUCUGCUGAAAGAGCUACUAAGGCACAACGCGAGUGAACGAAUUGGCUCUGGUUUGCUUGGAGUUGAAGAAAUAAAGUCUCAUCCUUUUUUUGAAGGCAUCCACUGGGAUCAAAUAUACAAUGAAGGUCUUUUACCCUUUUAACUUAGUUCCUAUAUUUUUGUUUUAUCUCGCUAGUUCCUAAUUAGAUUCAUCUAUGAAUCUAUUGGCUUCAUUAAAGUCAACAUUUUAAACCUUGAGUUGUUAUACUUAAACUUGUAAACUUGUUCAAUUAAUUACUUGUUAUCAAUUAACUAGAAUUUAAGUACAUACUUGUACUUGUUUAUCAUGUUUUUUAACACGACCUUGAUUUUUAUUGUAUUUUUUUAUUAGUUGUUUGUUUAAGUAUAUUUAUAUUUUAUGUUAAAUGAUUAAAAAUCGGGGAUAUACUAGCUACAAACACCUUUUUUAAUCAAAGAAGAAAUAUUUUAUUAAUGGACUGAAAUAUUAAAAUAGUUGAAUGAGAUAGUAUGGCAAAGUUACUUUGCAAGACUAUCAAAUCUUUGUAUUUUUUACAAACAUAUUAACAAAUAAUUUGUUUAAGACUACUUUUAACCAAAUUCAUAAACAAUACCAGACCAGUAGAUUUAAAAAUCUAAAAAUAUUGGUCCACAGAAUCUUGGAAAUGCUUUAGUAGUGUAACACUUAUACUUUGAGUCAAAUGUUUUGUGCUGUAAAUUUAGUGUAUUCUGACCUAAAGAUUGAUAUGUUAUGAGAGCAGGCCUGAUUGGGUCAUGGUCAUUAAUAAAUCUUCAGAAAAGAUACUAAAACAAACUUGUUGUGUAACAGUGUGGAAAAGAUACAGAUAAGUAUACUGUAUACAAUACAUUUGUAUGGGAUAAUGUUUGUUUUAUGAAAACAACUCUAUAUUUUAUAGUUGAUAAUCUACUUAAUCUAUAAACUACAGACAAAAACUCAUGUAUUUUAUGAACUAAAAUGACAGUAGAACAAGUUGUAAUGUCUGAAUUUUAUUUUUUACCUCAUAUUCUUUAACUAUUCAUGUGUGCCCUCACUCUAAAAAAUUAAUACCAAAGUAAUGUGAAUAGAUUUAUAUAGUCUACACAUUAACUUAGGUACUACUAGAGGUCGUCCAGUGGUCGAAACUCGACCAAAAAUAUGUAAUGUGCAGACUUCUCUAUUUUCACCCACACUGUAAAUAAAACAUGUGACAGGAAUUUCUUCCAUUUGUUUUGAUUUUCUGUUUAUAUUUCGUUUUUAUUUCGUAACCAGCAUGGCAACCCAUAAGAACCAUGUUAAUUUUUUUAUUAUUUUAAAUUCAUUUGUUGUGCUUACUUUUGAGCGUAUUUUAAUUUAUAAAGGGAUUCUGCACAUCUGCAGGAAAAUAUCUUUCUAACAGUAUGCGUAGAUUUUCCCUGUGAUGCACACGUAAUGAGAAAAAAGGUUUUAAAGAAACAUGCUUGCCUAUUAAUAUACAGGGUUAGUAAAAAGUGUGGAGACCCCCUGUUAUUUUUUUAACGGCCCAUACUAGAAAAACUAAACUCGGCACACCAUUAUGUUAAGAAGUACUUUGUGGGCAUAACCGCCACUUGGUGUUCAUCCCCAAAAUGGGGGAUUUUGGGGGAAACUCAAAAAUUUCAAAUACAAAGACCCAUCGAGUGACCCCUCAUUUUGAAGGUCCUAGUAAAAGAAAACCAUCAACGCAAAUUAGAGGUCUCUAUCACAGUUCAGUAAAAAAUGGCAGCCAAUUGAAAUUCUCAUAAGUUAUCAACCCCAAAAUGGGGGAUUUUGGGGGAAACUCAAAGAUUUUAAAAGAUAAGCCCCAUCGAGUGACCCCUCAUUUUGAAGGUCAUAAUAAAAGAAAACUAACAACGCAAACUAUAGGUCUCUGUCUUAACACAGUAAAAUAUGGCAGCCAAUGGAAUAUAAAAUUGCAAGUUAUUUCCGAUUUCUAAAGAUUUCAAUCAGCUUCCAUUUUUUAUUUUACUGGAUUGAGAUAGAAACCUCUAGUUUGCGUUGUUAGUUUUCUUUUAUCAGGACUUUCAAAAUGAAGGGUCACUCGAUGGGGCUUAUCAUUUAAAACUUUUGAGUUUCCCCCAAAAUCCCCCAUUUUGGGUUUGGUAAGCAAGCGGCUAUUAGGCUUAAAAAGUACUUCAUAACAUGCCAAAAAGGUGUGUAGAGUUUAGUUUUCCUAGUGUGAGCCGCUACUAAAUUUACAGGGGGUCUCCAGACUUGGAAAGCUGUAAGUUAAAUUUAACUACUGAGAAUUUCAAUUGGCUGCUAUUUUUUACUGGAUUGAGAUAAAGACCUCUAGUUUGCUUUGUUGGUUUUCUUUUACCAGGACCUUCAAAAUGAGGGG